rnacentral:rRNA from 1 species
AUAUUCUGUAGCAAGGUUAACCGUAUAGGGGAGCCGGAGGGAAACCGAGUCUUAAUUGGGCGUUAAGUUGCAGGGUAUAGACCCGAAACCCGGUGAUCUAGCCAUGGGCAGGUUGAAGGUUGGGUAACACUAACUGGAGGACCGAACCGACUAAUGUUGAAAAAUUAGCGGAUGACCUGUGGCUGGGGGUGAAAGGCCAAUCAAACCGGGAGAUAGCUGGUUCUCCCCGAAAGCUAUUUAGGUAGCGCCUCGUGAAUUCAUCUCCGGGGGUAGAGCACUGUUUCGGCUAGGGGGCCAUCCCGGCUUACCAACCCGAUGCAAACUGCGAAUACCGGAGAAUGUUAUCACGGGAGACACACGGCGGGUGCUAACGUCCGUCGUGAAGAGGGAAACAACCCAGACCGCCAGCUAAGGUCCCAAAGUCAUGGUUAAGUGGGAAACGAUGUGGGAAGGCCCAGACAGCCAGGAUGUUGGCUUAGAAGCAGCCAUCAUUUAAAGAAAGCGUAAUAGCUCACUGGUCGAGUCGGCCUGCGCGGAAGAUGUAACGGGGCUAAACCAUGCACCGAAGCUGCGGCAGCGAACGUAUCACC